UGCCCGGGGGGAGCUUGGGAAGCCAGGCUGAGAGGGCAGCCGGAACGCUGUCGACCCCGACAACCUGAUCUGGAUAAUGCCAGCGUAGGAACUGUGG
rnacentral:ncRNA from 1 species